AUCACGAGUAAGUUUCUGAGAAUGCUUCUGUCUAGUUUUUAUGGGAAGAUAUUUCCUUUUUCACCUUAGGCCGGUAAGUGCUCCAAAUGUCCACUUACACACACUACAAAAAGAGUGUUUCAAACCUGCUCUGUGAAAGGGAAUGUUCAACUCUGUCAGUAGAGGGCACACAUCACAAACAAGUUUCUGAGAAUGCUUGUGUCUAGUUGUUAUGGGAAGAUAUUUCCUUUUUCAACAUAGGCCUGAAAGCGCUCCAAAUGUCCACUUCCAGAUACUACAAAAAGAGUGUUUCAAAUCUGCUCUAUGAAUGGGAAUGUUCUACUCUGUG